ensembl:snoRNA SNORA70 Small nucleolar RNA SNORA70
AUGCAGCCAAUUAAGCCAAUUGUACACUUUUCCCCCAUAAAGGCCUGGGUGUAAAGGCUACAAAGAGCAGCUUCCUCAGUAGUGUAUGCAGCUUCUUGCUUAUACAGCUUGGCCACCAGAAGAACGACG